UGUCGCCCUCCCCACCCAAUGGAGGCCCAAUAUGAGCCUUGCUACCUCUUGGGGAGCAACCACGCUUCCUGUGGAAGAACGGAUGUAUCCACAGAUGAGCUGAGCCAGCACAGGAAACUGAAGCUCUAGUUCACUGCCAGUGUGCCCCACCCUCUGCCUGAGGCCUGGCCCCUGCCUCAAAGAGCUGCCCCAGCCUCCUGCUGUCCAAGACUUGGUGGAGAGGCACCAGGCCAGCAUGGAUCAUUCUCACUCUUCCUCCCACCCACAGCCUUCCGGGAGCCACCUCAUGAGUAAAACUAUUAAAAGCUGUAGGAGAAAAAGAAGAAGAAAAAGAACAACACUGGCUGUUCUUGCAGAGGACCUAAGUUCACCACUGAACAUUUCAAAUGGAUAAAACUGUGGGAACAGCUACAGACCACUGGAAAAGGCUCCUGCAACAACCCAUGCAACAAAGUACUCAAAAAGAGGAAAUGAGCAUCAGCUGCCCCUGGGGAACGCUGCUUGGAUGCAGACGAGAGUAUCCUCUGUCCCACACCCAUCUCGCUGCGCUGUAUCAUUGCUUUUGUAAAAACACGUAUAGAAUAAAG
rnacentral:lncRNA from 1 species